rnacentral:tRNA from 1 species
GGGAAGUUGGCUCAGUGGUAGAGCGCUUGCCUUGCAUGCAUGAGGCCCGAGUUUGAUUCCUCA